UCCGUAGGUGAACCUGCGGAAGGAUCACUAGUGAUUAAACGGAAAGCGUCUUAACUGACCUUUCCACCCUUCACAUCCACAUACACCCUGUGAACCGUUUGGCUCUUUUUUCCGUUUCUCUCUUCGGAGGGAAGGAAGGAGACGAAGAAGGAACGCUUUAGAUUUUCGUCAAAAGAAGUCUAAAGUCGACCUUUGGAGUUUUCCUGAAGGAAAAGGAGUCAUCAAUCAUAUACAUACACGAAGUCUAAUGAAUGUAAACGUUUUAUAUAAACAAAAUAAAACUUUCAACAACGGAUCUCUUGGUUCUCGCAUCGAUGAAGAACGCAGCGAAAUGCGAUAAGUAAUGUGAAUUGCAGAAUUCAGUGAAUCAUCGAAUCUUUGAACGCACCUUGCACUCUCUGGUAUUCCGGAGAGUACGCCUGUUUGAGUGUCAUGAAACUCUCACUCCCAACGUUUUCUAACGACGACGAUGGGACGUGGACUUGAGUCGUGCUGGCCUGCGUCUGACGCGGUCGGCUGACUUGAAAAGAAUUAGCUGGAUCCUCUUUGUAAUUGGUUCUACUCGACGUAAUAAGUAUUUCGUCGAGGACAGUCUUAACGGACUGGCCGAGAUAAAAGGAGUAACAACAUAGAUCCGCUUCUAAUCCGUGCUUUCUCUCCUUGAGAACACAACUUUUUAUGAUCUGGCCUCAAAUCAGGUGGGACUACCCGCUGAACUUAAGCAUAUCAAUAAGCGGAGGA
rnacentral:rRNA from 2 species